AGGACAUUCGCCUUCUCUGAUCACCGCUUCUCUUUGCCACUUGAGCCCGGCGCUUCCCGGUCGCCCCUCGCGUUGGCCCCUCCUUUCUUGGCCACGAAAACCUUAAAUCAGCACUACCUCCACCACCUUAACAAACGACGAACCCCGGCAGGAACAACUGGGACAAAGAAAAGAGGCUGUUAUGCUCUUCGCUUCCUUCUUCGUUCGACGAGAAAACCCUAGCUUGUAGCUUCUCCGAUGGGGUAAUCCGAUAAUCACUCGCCAUCGUUCAAUCCAAUCCAGUUUGCGAAUCGUCAAGUGAUUAGCACCGAUGUCUUCCUUGGAAGCUCAGGUGUUGGGUCCCGAGAUGGGUCCGGAGGAGGACGAAUCUCCUAACUCGGAUUUGGGGGACAUCGGGAUAGAGUGCUCGGAUGAAGCCAUGGAUGGCCCCGAGACCCCCACUGGGAAGGAUGGAGAGAUGAUAGAGAGUUAUGAUAGGAGGGAGCUGAUUGUGAAUGAGGGGGACCGAAAUGCAGAGCCCUUUGUGGGCAUGGAGUUUGACGGUGAAGAGGCUGCCAGGGCAUACUAUAACGCCUACGCCUGUCGUGUGGGCUUCCGGGUCCGUGUUAGCAGGUGCCACCGCUCGAUGCGCGAUGGGAGCAUCAUAUGCCGCCGGUUUGUCUGUUCCAAGGAGGGCUUCUAUAUCCAGAAGGGUCAGGCCAGGAGCAAGAGGCAGCGGAUAGUCACGAGGGUGGGUUGCAUGGCAAUGCUUGUGGUAAAGAGGCAGAGUUCUGGCAGUUGGCUUGUAACAAAGUUUGUUAAGGAACACAACCAUGAGCCAGUGGCUCCAAGGCAAGUGGCCCUCAAGCCCCGUAUGCUCAUGGAAGUAAAGAAGGUCGAGGUUUGUCUUGACGAGAAGGAGAAUCCUGUCGAGAGAGGACUGGUUGUGGCGACACUUCCUCAGGGAACUUCUGAUCUUGAACCGUAUGAGGGUAUGCAGUUCCAGUCUGAAGAAGCCGCCCGGACAUUUUAUUAUGCAUAUGCAGAGGAUAUGGGUUUUACUGUUCGUAUCAGCAAGUGCCGACGUGCACGAGAUGGAUCAAUUAUUUGCAGGCGAUUUGUGUGUUCCAAGGAGGGUUAUUAUGUGAGAAAAUAUGGAAGAACUAAGCGAUCUCGAGCUUUAACGAGAGUAGGUUGUUUAGCCAGGCUCGUUGUGAAGAAACUAGAUUCUGGUAUAUGGGUUGUUGCAAAUUUCGAGAGGGAACACAACCAUCCUCCAUUUGUUGUAGGGAAUGAGCUGAGCUAUCAGCCACCAAAGCCUACAAGACGCAUUAACUGUGGUGCCCGUGCAUCACUACCAGUUCCAAGUGCUGCUAUGCUGAAUAUAAUGCAAGAUAGUCAGAGUUCUGUGAACUUGCGAUUUAACAGGCUGCAUCAAGAAGGGAUUAGGUUUGCAGAGGAGGGAGCAACAUCAGUGGAAAUUUUUAAUGUGGCUAUGUUUGCUCUGCGGGAGGCUACUCAAAAGGUUAUAGCUGCAAAAGAUACUGAUAUGUUGCCACAGCUUGGUAAUUUGGUCAGUGGAGGCAAUACCGAUCGUCUUAGCUGGACAAAUGAUUCUGUCAAUCAGAUAACCAUGGGCAAUCAACAGUGCUCAAAAGAAGUUAGGCAGGUAGCUGCUUCUAAUGGUCCUAAGCUUAUGCAGCAGCCCUUGAACGUUGUGCUUAUUGCCCCUGGUUUGCCUAAUGAAUCUGGUCAAGCUCCUUCAGCAACUAACUUCCCUAAUGGUCAAGCAGUACUGGGAGGGCUAGAAAACCAACAGCUAAAUAUGACAAUUCCUGUUUCUGUCCAGAAGCAGCUGUCUCCUACUGCACAUAGAUUGGAUGGAAAUGCAUCACCAGGAACAAGUAUGUCUGUAGGAAGGAAAAGAAGGUGUAGUACAUCAGUGGAUGGUAUGGAUAGUUUCAUUACUGUUCGGGAUGUAGGAGAAAGGGAUUCCAAACAAGAUGGAGCUGCAAACCAACCUCAGGGAUGGAACAUCCUUGGAAUGGCCCAAGCAGAUUCACAUUGUGGGAAUGGUGGCAUGUCAACCAGUAUGGCACUUUCAGAUGCGCAGGUGGCAGCACUUCAGGCUGUUGCUGAAGCUUUUAAUGUUCCAACAAUGGGAGCCACCUCUUCAUUUGCUCUUCCAAUCAAAGUACUGCCAUUGUCUGAUAAGCUUUCAGAAGGGAACAAAGGAUACUUGUUGCCUUAUUGCUCCCCCAGUCAAUCUUUGGAAGUAUUAUCUCACCAAUACGAAGAAACUCCAAAACUCCUGGUCCAAAUCCAUUAGUGCACGCUGCUGCUAUAGCUGCUGGUGCCCGUAUUGCUUCCCCUGAAGUUGCUGCUUCGCUGAUUAAAGCUGUGCAGUCCAGAACUGCUGUGCACAUUAGAUCUGGAGGCUCUUUGCCCAAAUUGCCUGUUAGGAUUGGUGGGGAUUCUCUUGCACAAUCAGGGUUAUAUCUUAAUACCUCAAAUAUCCAAUACUUGACAACUGGGGAGCCAUCAAUUCCAUUUCCUGAUACUGGUGUGCUGCCAGAUGCGGCACUUCCAGGGGAUCACCAAGAAGGUAUAGCCAGUGAGGUUAGAGAAAUGCAGAUGACCAUGGCUGAGCAUGCUGAUUUUUUGAACUCGGACUCAAGAGAGGAACAAAACAUCUUGUAUCACUGCAUGGGUGGGGAAUCUCAAACUCUAGUUGAGCUGCAGCAUGCUGGAUUUAGUGCAGACUGACUUGGGUGUGUGCAGGGCCAGGUGUAAAUUGAGAUGUGCUGUUUGGUUGGAGAGAGCAUGUUUAUUUGCUUGUUGCGAUGCCAUCAGAUUGGCAGCAGAGUUUAGAAUCAAUUUUUAUGGUGCGUAUUCCACCUUAUCCUGAAUCUGAGCUGGCACCAGAGUGUGAUAUAUAGGCGUACAGUCA